AUGGAGCGAUGGAUCAUCAUCAUAUCGUUGCUUUUUGCACUGAUUACCAUGUGUGAGGGUAGUGGUAGACAACAAGUUUGUGGAAUUAUCAAUGGUUUGGUUCCAGAAUCGGAUGUUCUUGUUCAUUGUAAAUCCAAACAAGACGAUCUUGGCGUUCACCUACUUCACUACAAUGCUCUCUAUGAGUUUAAAUUCAAGCCCAACUUUUGGGGAACUACACAAUUCUACUGCAGCUUUACGUGGCCAUCCCGAAUUGAAUGGUUCGACAUUUACAAAUUCAAGAGGGAUGCAGGGAAGUUUUGUUACUGGAUGAUCAAGCCUGAUGGUCCAUGUAGGUACAAUAGUCUCAGCAAGAGCUUUGAUAAUUGCUAUAAAUGGAACAAAAAAAUUUGA
rnacentral:lncRNA from 1 species